rnacentral:misc_RNA from 1 species
GCUUCUCGAGAUGGGAAAAUUGUAUGUGAAAAUACACUUGACGCCAGAUUAGAAGUUGUGUUCCGUAAGAAGCUACCAGAGAUUCGCAAGUGUCUGUUCGGUCAAGUUGCUGUCUAAUACUACAUGAGAAGCAUUAGCAUUUUUGCUCACGACUCUUGGGAUAUUCUGAAAAUGGCACCUGCUCGUAUACUAUUUCCUUUUUUCUCUGCACUGUUGUGCUUAUAUACUAUUAUAACGGACUCAUGUUAGAGGGAUAUUUUCUUCAACAACGUUAUAUUCUCGUUUUCAAUGUUGUACAAUAAGUGUUAAGUUGCUGGAACCCUGAGUUUGCUGGGUCGAGAGAAUAAAAUUAUUCGGAGUUGAUGGCUCUCCAUACUUUAUCAAUAGA